UAUCACCACCUUGUGGCUGUUUAAGAGUAAGUCUCUUUACGGAGCCUGGGCUGACACUUAAUACGGGCAUUGUCACCGCUUCUGCCUGUUUUUAUGUGCACAGCUGCAUUUGUCCUUAUUCCUGAGCACUGGAUAAAGAAACCAAACUCAGUCAUUUAUUUAACAAGACCUUUGAACUCAGAUUCAAACUGUUUUUGUUUAGAAUUUCCGGGCUGAUCAGGAACGUACGAUAUAGCCCAGGCUGGCCUUGAGCUCAGGAUCAAGCCUUUAUUUCACAAGUACUGGCAUAACUGGCAUCCACCGCCAUGCCCUGCAGUCUCCCAGACUGUGAAUGUGCAUACUUCAUUUAGCUAUAGUAGUAUGCCUUGGGUAAUAACCUUAACAACCAGUUUUAUUGCAGCAAGAGGUGCCUAGUACUUAUGAUCCUUAAUACAGUAAAUGUACACAGUGUUAAUUGCCUCAUAGAUAUUAUGUCCACAGUUGUGCCUUUUAGAUCUCAACUCCUGUACAUAUCAAAGCAAAGAGGCUCACUAACACUAUAGUCUCUUUCUUGAAACUAUAAAAAUGAUUCCAAUAUUGUUAAUGGUCCUUCAUUUAAUGGAAACUAUGUAGGGGCUGUUGAUGUAAAGCCUUUGUCUCAGCCUGCUAAUGCACAUAAUGAUAAUUUCAGAAGGAUCAGUUUUAGCCUCAUUUUGAGGUACCGCAGUAGUGGCGACCUAUAAGGUCCCAUGUUGUGGCUUGCUAAUAACGUCUGAUUGCAUUUGCUCUUUUCUGUUGGCUACAGAAGGACAUCACUGGCCACCCUUAUGCAUUCCCUUUCACCAGGGAAUGCACAUUGCCGAAGAUUCUCAUGUUUGAACAGUCAAAGUGUAAAACUAUGAUGGUCACAACCAUGUACCUUGAGUACAACUGCGCAUGACUCCUUCCACUUGAAUAAGAUCCUACUCUCAGACCCUUUUGCAGUACAGCAAGGGUCACUAAUCUCUUGGCUUCUCCGUCUUCCUAGACACUGAGUCAGGAUCUCUCCUCUCCUUUCCACUGCCUUUGAUUUCCAGCAGUGACCAUUACUUUAAGGUCUUAAUAUUUGUGGAAAGGAUGUGGUUUUAAUAAACCACACUGUGUCCCUUGAACAUUAAUGUACACAAAAGGGACAUGAUUCAUUCAUUUUAAUAAGAAUAUUUGGCCAGUUAAUGUGCAAAAUUGCACUUCUCCACGACCUUAUUACUUUGAGGACCAUUGUGUCUCUUUUGCACUAUUGCAAGGUCCCUGCUAGGGGACCAUUAAAAUACAGUGGAAAUUUUCCUUUGUCAGUAGACAAAGUCAGAUUCUUUCACCUUUCAUUUGCAGUACGGCAGGGUAUGCUGAUCAACCAAGGCUGCCUUCUUCUGGACUGUCAGUAUGUAUUAUAUGUUGUAUGUAUGUAUAUGCGUUUCCUCCUGCUCUGUGCACUAGAAAAGGAUCCCACUCACUCCUUAUAACUUUUAGGAGGAAGUGGAAAGUUCACAUGCACAGUGGCUAAGCACUUCUUGUAUCAGAAACCCUAUACCCUCUUCCUCUGCUUUAAAGCAGAAAGAGGUUUUCCCACUGUGCCUUUCAUUUGGACUUCAGUGUGCAUUAACGCAGUUGUCCAUCCUUACCUUUGGAGUAGGAUUUUACAUCCUUGUACUCCUUUGACAUCAGAGGCACAUUAAUUAUUUUUUGAGCACUUCUCUCUUACGUAUAUUAAUAUGUACGCUUACACCUAUGGACCUGUGUAGCGCAAAAGGUUCCUACGUUUCUACCUUUUGACUGGGGCUGCUGAGGAGUGAUAACUGCUUAUAACCUCAGCAUCUGGAUGACUGAUUGCUGUGCAACCAUGUCAAGAGUACCACUUAUUAGUUGGUACUCCGUACUCUCUUUACAUACCAUUAAAGAGUACUGACCAACUGAGCCCCUGAGUUAUUAAUAAGUGUGCGUAUUUGCAAUUAUGAAUGCCUAGAAUACUAUGUUCUCAUACCCCCUUUGCAUCACCGCAGGGGCUGCUGAUCCAUCUAAAACAUCUGGGACUGUUAAUGAGCACAGUGGUUAUGACCAACGGCUUAUUCGGGGACUAUUAACAGGCACAAUGGCAGCUCUUGAUGGUUUAUUUUCUACUCUGACAUGUUGAGCAAAUCUCCUCCUCUAGUUUCCCCCUGGCAUAAUGAAGUAAAAUACUGCAGUAUGCCUAUGUUUUGUACACCCAACAGUGGCCCAUCUUUCCAUCCCUUUUGCAUUGCUCCAGUACACAAAACCCCAAAUAGCCACGAUCUCAUACUUUUUUGCAGUCAUCCCUCUGCCCAGCCCCUAGUUUGUCCAUGGACCACUCUUAUGGACUACUAAUUCUCACAAUGCAAUGUUGAAGACCUUGGCACCCUUUUCCCAGUUCCAUCACCCUGUCCCGUCUGCCUCUUUGUUGAGCCCUUCUCCUGACUUAAAGUCAACAAUCCCAGACGUCAUCAGCUUACCCGCUGCACAUGGCUGCAUUGUUUCAGUUGCCCUCUGCUUGGUCCUCCCUGUUGAACGGAAACAACUCCACCACACUACACUGUCAAUUACCUGUGUGUCAUUAAUGAACACAGCACCGAUGGACGGUCCCACUUUUCAGCCCAUGUGUCCCAGAGCUCCCUGCAACUUUGAUGUAUUUGUACAUGUAAAAUUUCAAAAGCGGGCCAAAGCUAGGUGGAUGAAGCAACACUCUUCAGCCUGCAUUUCUUAAUUACUCCAAUUCCAAUUGCUGGCAUAUUCUAGGGCCAGGAAUCAUUCCUGCCCACCUUUAUUAAUGCUUUAUUGUUCAAAAAAAUAUUUCAGGCAACUUGCUCAGGGAGCUGGAUUGCCACCUUUUAUUUGGGGCUUUCCUUAUACAUUAUCAACUGAAAAUUGUCUCCCAAAGAAGGAGGAUGAGCUAGUACUUUCUUUACACCCUUCCUCCAGGAGCUGACCGCCUGCUUAACAAACUCAACUUGUUUCUCUUGGUAUAUUGCUACGUACAGUGCCAACUGCCAGAAAAGUUUGUACAGUGCCAACUGCCAGAAAAGUUAUUGAUAGUUUAUGCCUUUAAGAAAGGCCUCUGGCUUGCCAGGUGGAAUUGAUUCUGUGAUCAUUAGCUUUUCUGUAGUAAAAAUAUCUUCCUUCUACUAUAUAUCUGAUGACCAAGCAGUGUCUCUCAUUUUACUGAGGGUGGCGAGUCUGUGGAGAAACCACUGUAACUGUUAUUCCAAUACCGUCAAAGUGCUUGUAGAAUGGCGUUCUUAAGGCCAGGAUGUAUGUUUGGUCUGAACUACCAGUUUAAAUACAAAAGUCAAUCUUUGUGUGGCCUUAGUAUCAUUGCCUUUAAGGAACAUGACCAAACAUUUUAAUAUUUAAAUUUGGCCUGACAUUGAACGCUAGCCCCUACUGACUUUAAGAAGGUGGUUGCGAAAGGAUUAAGUGAGAGGGCAUGUCAAGUUGUCUUUGAGUAGGCCACCAUGUGAUUAAUUCACUCUAUCUGCCAUUAAAUUUGGGCAAUGAUUUGAAGUAGCUUGGAAAAAAAAGCCACCCUAAAGUGGGAACUUAAAUAAAAUGAUGGAGCCUGUUUCCCCAGUUUACAUUUUAAUAUAUAUAUAUAUAUGCCUAGACCUAAUCAUUCUUGAGAGUACACUUCAAAGAGAUCCGCCUAUUAAGAAAAUAUCUGUCUCUAUUGGCGCCGAGUAUUUAAGCUUUCUGGUUUUCAUUCUUUAAUUAUUGUGCAUGAAUGAGUGUGUGUGUGUGUGUGUGUGUGUUUGCAUGUGCACUUGAGUAUCUGUACUCGUGCAUUCGCAUUGGUGACCAGAGAGCAAUGGGAACUGGUUCUACCUUGUGGGUCCCUGGAGAUAAAAACUCAGAUCGUCAGGUUUCGCAGCAAGUGCCUUCACUCUCUGAGCCAUCUUGCCAGCCCGCUCCUGGGUACUGAAUGUGACAUUGCUGAUGAAACCACAGUUCUUCAAAGUUUCUGAAAAAAAAAAUACCAUUUUUCUGAGAAGGAUGUCAAGAAAUCGACCCAGUUCAGGAUACAGGUUGAGCUUCAGCCCUUCAGAUGGCUACAGAAGACUCUGGAAUACGGGAUGAAUUUGGAGUUGCUUCUGUGCCUCAAUUGAAGAAGGAUGGCCUGGUUUUAGAAGAAUGGAUUCUAGACAGCAUCCAAAGGGAUAAUUCUGGCAGACGUCAAGGACUGCCAGCAGCUGAUACAGGCUUCAUUCAAAUCCAGCAGCCCUCUCGUUUCGAGACUCUGGACACGCUCUAGCUAACCUGAGCAAACAACAUGCAGGCCACAUGAAGAAAAGGAUCUUUCCCCAGAAGUAUGGACUUGUUGCCUUGUGGUGCUGGCGACCUAUUCCCUUUGACGACCCCUAGGUGGAGAUGGGGCAUGAGGGUCCUCCAGGGGAAUAACUCACCAGCACUGGGCAACAGUCCUAGCCAGGAGAAUUGGGGGAGACACUUCGCUGAACCCAGCAAGGAAGAUAAAGAGUCAAAGACAGUCACCCAACAUCAAAAUAGGAGAAAAGCUGCCACAGCCCUGGCAGUUCUCAAAGCCACCCUGGAAGCUCUGUAGGAGAACUUAACCAGCUGUUUCCACACUGCAAGAUUCACUGUGCUUCCAUUCAGUAGACCAAAUGGUCAUCCUUACCAAAGCUGGGCCUUCAGCAGGAUCGCGAAAUGGGAACACAUGAAAGGAAGCCAGCGUUAUAACCCAAGGACCAACAUGCCUGCAUCUUUUUUUUAUUUAUUUAUUUAUUAUGUAUACAACAUUCUGCCUCGAUGUAUGCCUGCACGCCAGAGCAGGGCGCCAGAUCUCAGUACAGAUGGUUGUGAACCACCAUGUGGUUGCUGGGAAUUGAACUCAGGACCUCUGGAAGAGCAGCCAGUACUCUUAACCUCUGAGCCAUCUCUCCAGCCCCCAUGCCUGCAUCUUAAAGCAACAGAAUGAAUGUGUACUGUGUUGGGUGUCUAUUUCUUAAUUGUUUUAUACAUCUAUUUCUUCCUUUGUGUGUCUCAUUCUUUGAUGUAUUCGUUUCUUCCCUUGAUUUGUGUGUCUUUUUUCCUAGCCUUGUGCGUCUUUCUUGCUUUUUCUUUGAUGUAUCUAUUGAUGUGUCUAUUUCUUCCUCACCUUGUAUGUCUUUCUUCUUCGCCUUGUGUGUCUUUCUUUCUUUCUUUCUUUCUUCCUUCCUUCCUUUCUUCCUUUCUUGCUUUGCAUGUUUUCCUCCCUUGCUUUGUUGUAUGUCUUUCUUCCUCGCCUUGUAUGUCUGUCUUUCUUUCUUUCUUUCUUCCUUCCUUUCUUGCCGUGUAUGUUUUUCUCCCUUGCUUUGUUGUAUUUCUUUCUCCCUUGCUUUGUUGUAUGUCUUUCUUCCUCGCCUUGUAUGUCUGUCUUUCUUCCUUCCUUCCUUCCUUCCUUCCUUUCUUCCUUUCUUGCCGUGUAUGUUUUUCUCCCUUGCUUUGUUGUAUGUCUUUCUUCCUCGCCUUGUAUGUCUUUCUUCCUUCCUUCCUUCCUUCCUUCCUUCUUUUCUUCCUUUCUUGCCGUGUAUGUUUUUCUCCCUUGCUUUGUUGUAUGUCUUUCUUCCUCGCCUUGUAUGUUUUUCUUCCUUCCUUGCUUUGAUGUCUAUGUCAAGUGUCUUUUACUCCUUCUCUGUGUACAGUCUAUCUUACCUAUUGCUGUGUUUCUCUACUAAUUUCUUCCUAGCAGAGCUUUGUGCUUUGUCUUAUUUUCUCCUCUCCUCUCUGUGAUUUGUGCCUUGUCUUGGCUAGAUGUGGCUCUGUUUUUUCUAUCUGGUUGCUGUUUCUCAUAACUCUUCUUUUACUCUUUCUGCCUUUCACGACUCUCCUUUGGGUCACAUGUUGCUUGCAAUCCUCUCCUUUCCUUGUGUUCACCUCACUUGCUUUUUUCUGUGUGAUCUGCUUGUCAGUCCUUUGACUCAACAUUCAUAUUUUCCUUUCUGCUGUUUCUAUCCUUAGCACAUGAGUCUCUUUACUACAUCUCCUUUUUCCUUCUUUGCAGCUGUGUCUCUGCUAUUUGUGAUUUCUGAUCUCAGCAUUACUCUAGUGUUUGUUUCUUUAUUUCCCUUCUACUUUCUCCCCUUGCUACUCACUUUGAGAAUGCCAGUCUUUUUACGAGUUUGUCUCCCUCUUCCUCUAAUCCUCUUGGAUAUUUCUGUGUGUGUGUGUGUGUGUGUGUGUGUGUGUGUGUGUGUGUGUGACAGAGGGUCUUCCUAGCCUGCGGAAUAUCACCAGUGGAGCUGUUCUUCAAGCCCUGCGGAAUAAUCUAAGAGAAAAUCCAGCGCUUUGGUCAGGACUGAAGUAGACCUGAAAGGAACAUGUAAAGACCCAAAGUGGAAGACAGACUUAAGGACCAAGAUACAGAAGGCCUGUCUGAGCUGGCUGGAAAGUUUGAGUCUCAAGUUGGAUGGACAGAAUGCUGACAACCCAUAGAAGAAGGGCUGUUUCUACAGGACCCAUGUGAAGUCGACGAACUGAGACCUGCACCUGAGCUAAGUCUAAACCUAAGAUCUAAGGACUCAAGCCUAUAUGGACUAUAAGUUGGAGGCCUGUGGCCUAGAACUCUGGGGGGGGGGGGGGUUAAAACCCCAAGACUAAGGGAAAUCUGAAGAUGAGACCCUCCCAACUUUUAUACUGCUCCCCCCCCCACGGACGUUUUCAGUACUCGCUUCUCAGAUUUCCAUUCAUGCCAGUUUUACUUGAUGUACUUUUCAAUAAUGUCAUUUACCAUAAAGGAACAAGCUUUUAGGUUGACAGCAUUGUGCAGGGGUUGAUCUUUAGUCUGUUUUAAACCUGAUUUUAGCCAUUUCUUAAAGUUUUGAUGUUUUAAAACUUCCAUUUCUCUUCAUGUCUGCUCCUCUUGCGAGAGAGAGAGAGAGAGAGAGAGAACAAAAUCCAGCCAGUGUUAUCUAGUGUGACUUUUGAUAUUUCCCUAGCAGCCGUACAGAUACUGUACUUCAAUCCACCCUAACUCUGCAGCCUUAGGCUAUGAGAAAGGAAAGCACCAGACUGUUAGGGGAAAACAGUAGCAGGCUAUCUAGAGAAAAUAUGAAGAUAUGCUCCAGACCAAUGAGAAGAAUUAGACGAGCAAUAUGCAAAUGUGCCAACCUGAGAAGCACCAGCCAACAUCAGCUUCCUUCUUUGGGCUUAGGUGAGCAGGGUAUGGAAUUUCUAAUAAUGAUAACAGUGAUUAGAUUUGGGACAGACCGAGGUCCGAACUAACUCCCUGUUCAUGGUAGUGGCCAAGGAAUUUUGGUGUAUUCACUAAGUCCUGGGUUUAACACCCACCUUUAGGAUUAAUGAUGAAAGAAUUUAGGACUAUUUAAUAGGUUUCAUGCUUCUGGUUCCCCCUAUCCCCCUUUAAGAGGGAACUUGACUUUAAUGACUGAUACAACACAGGAGAAAAAAAGUGACAUGCUCAUAGCACAUGGGCAACCACACAUAGUUAACAUUUGAAAAUGCAAUUUGAGUUUUUCCUGGAAGGAGUCAAGGACUGUAAAUACCCGAGGCUUUGUGGGCCAUUGGUCUUAGUUGCUCAUUCUUUUAAAAAGAAAAGAAACCUUUUCAGAAGGUAAAAAUCCCUCACUGGCCCAUUGCUUUGGACUUGACCAAGCCCUGAUCUAAACACCAGGGACUAUGUCUGAAUAACACAACUUAUGCCUAUCUUUGCGCUGAGUACUAAGGAUGUGCUGCUUAAUUAUGGUCACUUCCAGCUAACAUGAAGACAUAGAAAUAUGUUUUAUAAACCACAAAGCACACUAAAGCUUCUAUGUCAGUGCUGAAUGCAUGCGUCUUACCUAGUGCGUGCAUUCUCUGGACACAAUGAUUGCUGCAGGAAUAACAAGUCAAAAUAUGUUUAGGGAAAAGAAUUAUAUAACGAUGGCUUGAAUGAAUGAAGGAUAAUCCAUACUUCAGGCCAAUGUGUUUCUAUUGCAUUGGUGAUUUUCAGUAUGCCAGGUAGCAGAAAACACAUGGAAAGUGACUUUAAACUACAAAAUAUGCCCCAAGUAUAAGUGACUCCCCUAUUGGGAUCACCUUAUAACUUGCAAAACACCAAGCUCGGCACCAGGGAUAACAAAACUAAAAGUUAAGAAAGAGCACAGUAAAGUGCUUGGUAAACUAUAAAGCACUGCACAGCUAGCAAUAGCUUCCUGUGCACAAAUGAAUGAGUACUAACUAACUCCUGUGUGUCAGGUAUUAUGUUAGGUACAUAAAAUACAGGAUGAAUUGUCUUGACUAACUCUGCCAUGAAAUAGAAUGUUUCCAUUCUAUACUGCUUAAUUUACAAGGUAUGAGAUCACAGUUAAUUUAAUCAGUCAAGACUUUAGUGAUGAGGGCCAGCUAACACAAGAACAUUUAUUUGCCCUAUAAAAUACUACAGAAGUGUAGGACAUUCCAUAUUUCCUAUAGAAAUAAAACUGCCUACAUAAUAGGCACAGGCUCUAAGAAAUUCUCAUUGUCUUCUUGGCUUACACUGAGAAGAAUGGGACAAAUAGUUAACCAGCUGGGUGUGGUAGCAUAUGCUCUGACUUCAGGCUGCUGAAACAGCAGGACCAUUUGAACCCAGAACCUUGGGACACAGUGAGAGAAAUCUUGGUAAACCAAGAUGUUAAAUGCCUGUUGAAUGAAUAUACCAAGAUUGAUUGCCUAUAUAUGGUAUAUUCUUUUUUAAAAUGAUUUAAACAGCAAAAUGAUUUAAACAGUGUUCUGCCUGCACGCCAGAAGAGUGCGCCAGAUCUCUUGGUAGAUGGUUGUGAGCCACCAUGUGGUUGCUGGGAAGUAAACUCGAUUUCUGGAAGAGCAACCAGUGCUCUUAACCUCUGAACUAUCUCCCUAGCCCUCGGUAUAUUCUCUUUUAUGGGCACUGGAGAGAUACACAGACUUAAAUUUAUUUCAUUUGUGCCCAAGGCUGAGAGUAAUAUGUAUGUUGGUAUUUUAUGAACUUUGGGGUAUCAUAUAAAUGUACCAAAUAUUUACUUAUUUGGUACCAAUUUCCCAGCUUUUAGAAUUCUGUCACGUUUGUCUGAAUGUGCAAAUAAAGCAAAGAAAUUACUGUUGAACACUGAAUAUAUGAGACAGUCGUCAGUGGAUGAAUGCAAGAUUGAAUGGCAAUCAUUUAUUACAAAACAAUGCCCUUGCUAGGCAUUGAGAUGCAAAGACCAAGCAGCAUCCUUAGUGUCCCCUAUAACUAAAGAAAUUAUGUGCAAGACUAAUUUAUAACUUGUAAGUUGCCAUACAUGCCCAGUAGUCAAUAAUUAUUUGCUUUUAUCCCCAGACACUGGGAAUAGAAAAAUUCAUUACCAUUAUUAUUACCCACAACAUCAUUGCCCACAACAGAGAUCUGUGUGGAGCUUUAUGAAGUCUGCAGUUCUAUAAAGCUAGGACCUAGCUGUUGGCUUUGUAUGUGACUAGUGACAACUUUCUGGGUUUCCUCAUGGCUAAAGCUUCUUCAGAAUGCUUGUCACCUAAUACUUGCAUCUUACUGUGCUGCAUGCUGUGCAAACAAAGAUUUGCUUUCUCUCACAAAGCAUGCCCAGCAUGUCUGAGAGCUAGGCCAGAACUGCUCUUGACUUCAAUGAUGAAAUGAAAACAGAAAAAAAUGGAUUUGUAUAAGGUGCUGUGCUAAGUAAAUAUUGAGCUAAGUGGACUGUCCUGUCCAGUGUCAGGUAGUUCCACAGCAUGGACGUCAGGGAACAGAAGGACAGGAAGGGAUCAGAGCAUCAGAUGCUACUACAAUACUUAGUGUGGUCCAGAACCUCACAAAAUAGAAGUACAAUCUGAGGGUCAAGCACCCAGAGCAUGAGCUCAGGCUGCUUCUAGUUGCUGAAUCUCCAGUCACAGCUUCUGAGGUGCUGCUGAGAUUCCAGAUGUGUGUCCCCAUGCCCAGCCUGUGGAACCUAUCUCAUUACUGAGUAAAUACUAUUUUAGUGCCUGACUGCUUGCAGUCGCUAUGCUUGAUGGAUUAGUUCAAUAGGUAGGGUCUUGAAGACCCACUGACUUGACCUAGAGAUUUGAAAAUCAAAUGAAGGCCAAGAUUCAUUCAACAUAAAAUGAAGAUGUCCCUAGUUAAGGACAUCCCUAACUAAGACGUCCCUCCAAAGGUCAUUUACUCACUGGCCUACUUUAAAGCCAGAAUAAGGGGACUUAAAGUCUGACCUUAGCUCAGAGUGCAAAAGACGCUACUGGAUGCUAAAUGAAACACAUCUGCUCCAAGAGGCACUUAGUGUGACUUACGGAUGCCCUGAAAAGCAGACUGGUGUUCCUUAUUAAAUAGAAAUAUUAGCUCAAGCACUCUCUAGACUGAAAGGCACUGGCUUUUUAAUUGACUCAGGUUAGACCACAGGAAGAAUGUUACUAUUCAUUCAUUUUCUUCAUUCAUUCAUUCAUCUGUUCUACAAACAUUUGCAUAUAAUUCUCAGGCCUUCCUUGUUUGGCUCCUGAGAUGUGAAAGACAGAAACCAAUAGGCACACCUUCCCCAGGACUGCUGAACACUGGGGACUGCUGCUUAGGUAGUGGCAAGACUCAGUCCCCAAGUAACAUGCAGUUAAAGUCCCCACCUUCAUCUCUCUGGCCACUACAUGAACAGGAAGCUGGGUUUUGUAGUAAGCCUGCUCCUAAAGUUGCAACCCUUGUGCUCAAAGAAACGCUUCGAUAUUCUAGCUCAUGACUUAUUUAAUCUAUGACUGUGACCAUUACUGAUCAGAAGGGAUGACAGUCACUUAGCUCCCCAACUUCUGUCUCCUUAGGAUUAUCCCUGGGGGAAACAACCCAUUCUUGAGCUGCAGCAGGCUUUGAAAUACAUUUGCAAAUUUUGUCUGCCUGAAUGGGUCUCUUUCAUAGAAUCAGAUAGCAUACAGUAAUUUAAAAAAUGUUCUCCUUACUGCAAAAAAAAAUAAAUAAAUAAAAAUAAAAAAACCCAAAAAACUACUUAAGGGGCUUGCUAUGGUAAAUAAUGCCAGUGGAUGAAAAUAACCUCAAGUUUUAACAUGCUUGCAUAAAAUUUGAGAAUAAGAGAAUUGGAAACAAUCAGAAAAUUGGAGGAAAGAAAGACUAUCAAAAAAAACUUGAAAAAAUGCCUUCUUUAAGGAGGGUUGAUGGUGCUUUGACCUCUUCUAUUUUUUUUCACUCACAGAGGGUGGGACAGGAGGCAGAGUGAAGGAAAAGGUCAAGCCUGUGUCCGCAGAGCAGCUUACCUUUGUUCUCAAUGGGUCUUGAGAACAUCACUGCGGUCUGGAACUAAAUUGGGACCGCCUUUUCUUUACUUGAAUGCAGUUCCAAUAACUAAAAAGUAUUGAUAAAGUUUGCUAAAUGUUUCCAAAAAUAUAUUUUCAUCUAAAUGGCUAUCAGCUAAGCCUUGUGUUACAUAGGAAUGAGAUACAUUAAUCAAUGUGACCUCUAUAUCCAAGUUGCCUUGAAACUGAAGUCACAAUUUGCUAUAAAGGGGGCUUAUUUAUUAUAACCCCUACAUACUCUUAAAGUAUCUAAACUGUACUUUGCUUGGCAAGCCAAUGUUGCCAUCCACAAAUGGAGAAGGAAAGAGAAAAAGGAAAGACUAGGUGGAGCCAGGUUGAAGAGGUCUGGGAGUUCAACUUCUUUAAAUUUUCUUUAAAACUAAGUUGGGCCAACAGACACAGCUGAAGUGCAACUGAGGUCAGGUUUUAACUUGUGGGAUUGGCUGCACCCAGUAACAUCCCUUUGUAUGGGUAGGAAUGGGGCUACAAUUCUGGAAAGUGCACAGGAAAAAGUAACUAAAAGCCUUCCUUCCACAGUUUCUGCCAUCAGUAUGACUACCGAUUAAGCAACCAUAAGAGCACUUUAUCAUCAUCUGCUUUGGUCGCAUAAAUGAACUUUGUAAACAAAUCUAAAGACAGCGGCAUCACCUCCCCAACCAACUGCGAACGAACUCUAUACCGAAGCACGUGGAAGACACUUGGACUCGUGGAAUGCAGAACUUCUUUGUUUGACUCUUGGGUGUUUUAAAGACUAGAAAAAUGCUGCUUAGCAUGCAUGACCACCAUAAGACAAUCUAAAGUCAUCUCUGUCACAAUGAGUCAG